rnacentral:rRNA from 1 species
CUCACUAUAGGGGAUUCGGCCCUAGAUGAUGCUCGAGCGGCGCAGUGUGAUGGUAUUGCAGAUUCGCCAUUACGGGAGGAGCAGAAAGGUAUUUUCCGAAUUGGCGCAAGCUGCAGGGAGAACCGCCGCGUGGAGGCCGACCGGCCUUCGGGUUGUAAACUCAUUUUGGGUGGGCCGCCCGCGACCGGUACCUACCACGAAGCAGCCCCGGCUAACCUUUGUGCUACCAGCACCGGUAAGCCAAGAGGGGCGCAAGCGUUGCCGGGGGUUCCUGCGGCGUAAAGGCCGCGGAGGCGGCCUCGGAGCUCGCUGUCUGACACGCGCCCAGACUUACAGGCGGCCGAGGCGUGCAAGAUCAGAGCAGCCAUUCAAGCAGGCACAGAGGGGGGGUGGCAAUCCACAGGACGGGAGAACAUGCAAAUCAGUAGGAG